ACGGAAGGCAGCAGUGGGGAAUAUUGGGCAAUGGGCGCAAGCCUGACCCAGCAACGCCGCGUGAAGGAAGAAGGUUUUCGGAUUGUAAACUUCUGUCCUUGGUGACGAACACAAUGACGGUAACCAAGGAGGAAGCCCCGGCUAACUACGUGCCAGCAGCCGCGGUAAUACGUAGGGGGCAAGCGUUGUCCGGAAUGACUGGGCGUAAAGGGCGUGUAGGCGGCCUGAUAAGUCUGGAGUGAAAGUCCUGCUUUUAAGGUGGGAGUUGCUUUGGAGACUGUCGGGCUUGAGUGCGGAAGAGGUAAGUGGAAUUCCCAGUGUAGCGGUGAAAUGCGUAGAGAUUGGGAGGAACACCAGUGGCGAAGGCGACUUACUGGGCCGUAACUGACGCUGAGGCGCGAAAGCGUGGGGAGCAAACAGGAUUAGAUACCCUGGUA
rnacentral:rRNA from 1 species